rnacentral:rRNA from 1 species
UAGGGAAUUUUGCACAAUGGGCGCAAGCCUGAUGCAGCAACGCCGCGUGAGUGAAGAAGGCCCUUGGGUUGUAAAGCUCUUUCGGCCGGGAAGAAGAGUCAUCCCGCGAACAGUUGGGUGAUUUGACGGUACCGGAAGAAGAAGCACCUGCUAACUACGUGCCAGCAGCAGCGGUAAUACGUAGGGUGCGAGCGUUGUUCGGAAUUACUGGGCGUAAAGGGCGCGUAGGCGGGUCUAUAAGUCGAUUGUGAAAGCCCCGGGCUUAACCUGGGAACAGCAGUCGAAACUGUAGAUCUUGGAUACCUGAGAGGAUGGCGGAAUUCCCGGUGUAGAAGUGAAAUUCGUAGAUAUCGGGAAGAACACCUGAGGCGAAGGCGGCUGUCUGGCGGUGUAUCGACGCUGAGGCGCGAAAGCGUGGGGAGCAAACAG